rnacentral:rRNA from 1 species
AAUCAACGCUGGCGGCGUGCCUAACACAUGCAAGUCGAACGCGAAAAGGGCUUCGGCCCUGAGUAGAGUGGCGUCCGGGUGAGUAACGCGUGGGUAAUCUACCCUCGGGUGGGGAAUAACUAGUCGAAAGAUUAGCUAAUACCGCAUAAUGCAGCGGCUCGACAUCGAGACAGUUGUUAAAGCAGAAAUGCGCCUGAGGAGGAGCCUGCGUCUGAUUAGCUAGUUGGUGAGGUAAUGGCUCACCAAGGCUGCGAUCAGUAGCUGGUCUGAGAGGACGGCCAGCCACAAUGGCACUGAAACACGGGCCAUACUCCUACGGGAGGCAGCAGUGGGGAAUAUUGGACAAUGGGGGCGAACCCUGAUCCAGCCAUGCCGCGUGUGUGAAGAAGG